GAUGAGUUCAAAAUGAGGUCUUCUGACAGCUUCGGGAUUAGUAUCCAGGUUAGGCUGAGUGGACCUGGGUCCAACCGGAAACCUACUAUUUGUCUGCUAGGACUCAUGGAACCCUCAACCUGCCUAAACGCUCUGUGGAUUCCUGGAUCCCUGGACCUGUCUAUUCCUGUUCUGAUCGGAAGACCUCACCGGGUUGCAGGUUCCUGGAUCUCUGAGUCUUCUAGUUUUGAGCUGUUUCCCUGAUCUGGCUCGGACUCCUGCCUGUCCACUGAGGCUGCUAUCGGCGACACUCUGGGUGGCUUCUGCUGCAUCUCAUUGGCAUCUGCUGGAUCCUGCCGCUCCUGUGAAGAUGGACUGAACUAUUAAACCAGAGUACCAGUGAGGGGUGGCCCCACCUCCCCCUGCAGCUGCUGCAGUUCCACAGAUACUCAGCUCUGCGUUCAAUUUGUGUUUGUUUUAAUAAACAUCUUGAACUUUCC